UCCGUAGGCGGGCAGCUAAGUCAGUGGUGAAAGUCUGCAGCUCAACUGUAGAAUUGCCAUUGAUACUGGUUGUCUUGAAUUAAUAUGAAGUGGUUAGAAUAUGUAGUGUAGCGGUGAAAUGCAUAGAUAUUACAUAGAAUACCAAUUGCGAAGGCAGAUCACUAAUAAUAUAUUGACGCUGAUGGACGAAAGCGUGGGGAGCGAACAGGAUUAGAUACCCUGGUAGUCC
rnacentral:rRNA from 1 species